rnacentral:rRNA from 1 species
GGAUGAACGCUGGCGGUAUGCUUAACACAUGCAAGUCGAACGGAUUCUUAGGAAUCAGUGGCGGACGGGUGAGUAACACGUGAAAACCUGCCUCUAGGACGGGGAUAACAGAGGGAAACUUCUGCUAAUUCCCGAUGAGCCCACGGGUAAAAGGAUUUAUCGCCUAGAGAGGGGUUCGCGUCCGAUUAGCUAGUUGGUGGGGUAAAGGCUCACCAAGGCUGCGAUCGGUAGCUGUUCUGAGAGGAAGAACAGNCACACUGGGACUGAGACACGGCCCAGACUCCUACGGGAGGUAGCAGUGGGGAAUUUUCCGCAAUGGGCGAAAGCCUGACGGAGCAAUACCGCGUGAGGGAAGAAGGUCCUUGGAUCGUAAACCUCUUUUCUCAGGGAAGAAGUUCUGACGGUACCUGAGGAAUAAGCCUCGGCUAACUCCGUGCCAGCAGCCGCGGUAAUACGGAGGAGGCAAGCGUUAUCCGGAAUUAUUGGGCGUAAAGCGUUCGCAGGUGGCUGUUCAAGUCUGCUGUCAAAGACCGGAGCUUAACUCCGGAAAGGCGGUGGAAACUGAAGAGCUAGAGUGCGGUAGGGGUAGAGGGAAUUCCCAGUGUAGCGGUGAAAUGCGUAGAGAUUGGGAAGAACACCGAUGGCGAAAGCGCUCUACUAGGCCGCAACUGACACUCAGGGACGAAAGCUAGGGGAGCGAAUGGGAUUAGAUACCCCAGUAGUCCUAGCUGUAAACGAUGGGUACUAGGCGUAGCUUGUAUCGACCCGA